GUUGAACGCUGGCGGCAGGCCUAACACAAGCAAGUCGAACGGUAACAGGAAGCAGCUUGCUGCUUCGCUGACGAGUGGCGGACGGGUGAGUAAUGUCUGGGAAACUGCCUGAUGGAGGGGGAUAGCUACUGGAAACGGUAGCUAAUACCGCAUAACGUCGCACGACCAAAGAGGGGGACCUUCGGGCCUCUUGCCAUCGGAUGUGCCCAGAUGGGAUUAGCUAGGAGGUGGGGUAACGGCUCACCUAGGCGACGAUCCCUAGCUGGUCUGAGAGGAUGACCAGCCACACUGGAACUGAGACACGGUCCAGACUCCUACGGGAGGCAGCAGUGGGGAAUAUUGCACAAUGGGCGCAAGCCUGAUGCAGCCAUGCCGCGUGUAUGAAGAAGGCCUUCGGGUUGUAAAGUACUUUCAGCGGGGAGGAAGGCGAUAAGGUUAAUAACCUUGUCGAUUGACGUUACCCGCAGAAGAAGCACCGGCUAACUCCGUGCCAGCCGCCGCCGUAA
rnacentral:rRNA from 1 species